GCCCUUUUUAUGUUGUACUACUAGUGGUCACACACAAAAAAAGCAGUGCAAUGUUAAAAGGGCAU
rnacentral:pre_miRNA from 2 species